UACGGAGGAUGCGAGCGUUAUCCGGAUUUAUUGGGUUUAAAGGGUGCGCAGGCGGACAGGUAAGUCAGCGGUGAAAUGUCCCGGCUCAACCGGGGAGCUGCCGUUGAUACUGCCUGACUGGAGUCCAAACGGCGCCGGCGGAAUGAGUGGUGUAGCGGUGAAAUGCAUAGAUAUCACUCAGAACACCGAUCGCGAAGGCAGCUGGCGAGGAUGGUACUGACGCUGAGGCACGAAGGCGUGGGGAU
rnacentral:rRNA from 1 species